AUCAUUUUUUUGAUCAAAUCUUGUAAUAAAAUGGGCAGCCCACUAGAACUUGCCUAGUUUGGUGGAGACCCCAUCAACAAAUUAAAUUUCCUCACCAAAUAAUUAAAUUUCCAACUAUAUAUAUGGAAUGAAAGUCCAUGUACAAAAACCAAAAUCUUCCAACUUCAACAAUUAACCGAUUGAUCGCUCAACAGGUUGCGAAACCUAGCUCUUAACGAUCAAGAAAUCUAGUGAUAUAUAGAAAAGAUGGGUGGUAUGAGGUUGGGUGUGUUGGUGAUGGUGGUGGUAUUGGUGAUGAGCAGUUGCACGGCGGAGGGAAGGAGAGUGGCGGCGGGAGAAAAGGCGGCGGCGGAUGAGCAGAAGGUAGUAAAUGAUGAUGGAGUUGCAAGUACCUUAGAUAACCACCACGCUUGCUCCAUGGCCGACUUCAGCAAGGGUACCUGUGAUCCUGCCUGAUCACAAAAUGAUGAGAGAGAGAGAUAGUCAGUGUGUAUACAAUUAAGUUGCUUUUUUUUAAAAAAUAAUACUAAUAAUUAAAUAAAAGAAAUAAGCUGAGUUUGUUUCUAAUGAGCUACGGCCUAUGGCAGAUAUGUGUGUAUGUACAAAAUACUAUGAUAUGCUCAUAUGGUGGCAACAUAUAUAAGGGACUAUUGUUGUUUA